AUGCUCAUUUUCGGGUCCAAAAUACAAGUACGAUUAAUAAAUGUGCCCCGCUGGCCUGGACCUCCUCCUCAGCUGAGGUUCGAUAUCGCCGCCACCGCAGCUGACCUGAGGUCGAGCUUUUGUUUUUUGUUUGUUGGUAAAGAUGGAGACUUUUUGGUUCUCUGAUUGUUAUUGUUUUUUCUUCUUCUCAAAUUCUGGGUAAUUUUAGAUGGGUUCAGAUGUAAACAGGCACAAGGUCUGCUUCAAUGUGCAAUUUCAAGCCGGUUGUAUAGAUCUCUUCCAACUUGGCAAUUCCCAGAAUAAGGAAAGGUAAACUUCUCAUUUCCCAGAUACAUAGGGCAACUGGUUGAGAAUUGGUUUGGGAGCGUAAUGUUAUUUCAGACCAAAAAAUUAUACUUUAGAGACUAGUCUGUUGUACAAGCAUAUCCGCAGAUAGGCAUAUUUUUCAUAGCACAGUGUCGCAAGUAGAUACAGGACAACCGGUACCAAUAUUGGAGGAGGGAGAAGGGACUCUGGUCAUACUACGUCUUUUCAAACAAAGCCGCUUUUGGUAUGAUAAUCCACGAGACUUCACACAGGAUGGCGAACCAACCCUCGUAGAUGAAGAGAUACUUCUUGUCCAACGUGGCCCAGCCAAGUUUAUUGCUGAGCGUCUUUUGCGUAUGGGUGUCCCACCAGAAGAACAUGAAGCUAUUCUUCUGAAAUUUCUUCAGAAGUAUCUUGUAGAUAUUGACGACAUCACCCAUUAUGUCCUAUAUACUGUGAAUAUAUUGGACAUCAGUGUGUCCUUGUUGGGUAGUGCUGACUAUCAUGAGAUCGUUGAUUGGGCGGCAGAAGAAAACAUCGUAUUUGAGGACCAUUGGGGUACAAAUAAGCUCAAAUUUAUUCCUGCAAGUAGAUCUUGGAUCAAGAGUUUGAAGAAAAUAAAACUUGAUACUUUGGAAGUAGAUCUUGGAUCAUGUGCUAUUUGUCUCGACGACGUUGCAAAAUGUGAUGAUCAACUGGUUACUACCUUACCCUGUAAACACCAUAUCAUGUAGAUUGCAUUGUCCAGUCCCUGGAGAUCAGUCACCUUUGCCCCUUGUCCCGAUACCCAAUGCCAACUGUGGAAGCGGAUGAGCAAUAAACAGUCUAGGGGCUUAACUGGAUCAACCACUAAGGAUGAUUCGGCUAUGGAGUGUAUUUUAGUCAUUUAUUGUUUUACCAGAAAAAAAAAAAUGAAAGGGAGAGUUAAUCCUCCCGACUGUAUUUUAUAGCAGUUCCUUUGUUUACCAGAAAGAAUCCAUCAGACUGUAUCUUAUUUUGACUUUGGCUGAAGGAUUUUGAUUGUUUCUUUGAAGGUUAAUCCUUCUGAUUUGAGGAAAGAGUUUCUGUUUAUUGUGGUA